AUAUAUAUAUAUAUAUAUAUAUAUUAUAUAUAAUUUCUCUCCCUAGAAAACUAUCGAAAUGCAAGAGCAAGCAGCAACGAGUUCCGUGGCGGCGAGUCUACCUUCAAGUAGUGAGAGAUCUUCAAGCUCUGCUCUUCAAGUGGAAGUCAAAGAAGGAAUGGAGAGUGAUGAUGAGAUCAGAAGAGUGCCGGAUAUGGGUGGUGAAGCUGCUGGAGCAUCGGGCGGAUCCGUUGCACAUCCAGACCGUGUUCAAGGUACAACCGAAGGUACGAGGAGGAAAGGGAAAAGUCCGGCCGACAAAGAAAACAAGCGGUUGAAGAGGUUGUUGAGGAAUCGAGUUUCGGCUCAACAAGCAAGGGAGAGAAAGAAGGCAUACUUGUUGGAGUUGGAGGUGCGAGUGAAAGAGUUGGAGAAGAAAAAUUCUGAGGUUGAAGAGCGUUUGUCGACGCUGCAAAACGAGAACCAGAUGCUUAGACAUAUCUUGAAGAACACAACGGCUGGUAUGCAAGAGAGGAAAUAGAAGUAGAUUUAGAACCGAUCAUUGAUCGUAGCUAGAAAAUUAAAGCCAAGACUCGGGUUACAGUAAUCUUCAGAGGACCAAUAUGAUGCCCCUUAACUAUAUAAUAUUUAUAUACGGUAGAUUUAAGGGGGUGUUUGGAAUUGCUUAUUUAAAGUGAUUAUUGAUUUAUUCCGUAUGGUACCGGUAAUAAGUCGUUUUGAAUGUUUGGAUGAGAAAAAAUAAUGCUUAUACCGGUGUUGAACCGGUAGUAAAGAGUUUUUGAUAAGUUACACUCUUCUAACUUAUCAAAAACAACUUAUCAGCUUCGAAAUCAAAUUACCUUUUUAACCUUAACCGGAGAAGUCGAAGUGAAGCAACGAAGUUUCUUAGCAGCAAGAGGAGAUGCAGAAUUCGGCGACGUUGGAAGGUCUUCAAAGAACGAUCUCUUCCCACACACAAUCGCAGACAUUGUUUGUUGAAAAUCAAUCGAAUCGUUCCAGUAAUCGCAGACCUGGAUUCAAACCAAGGAAUCGAAUCGAUCCAAGGUCUUCAAACAAACACAAUUCAACUGGUCCUGUAAACCAAGGAAUCAAAUCAAUCCAAUAAUCGGCUUUUCAGAAACGUCCGUUCAUAUGUAAUUUGAAGCGAUUUAGGGUCAGGGUUUUGGGUGUUGGUGAGGGAGAAGAUGAGAUGAUGGCAAUAAUUUGGAGUUUAUAAGUCAACAAUAUAGAAUGCUUUUUUAGAUCAUUUUACAUGUAUA